CCGCCGUACAUCAGCUCUUAUUGGCUCUUAUUGUUAGCGUUUAUUGCUUAACAAUAGGCUCCCCAGGAACCUGAUUGGCUCGACGUGACUCAGCUGGCGACUGGGAGGGCGAAACGUGGGCUUUGCCCUCACGUUGUAUCCGGCUAAUUACCCUACUCUUCCGGUCGCUGCUCCACCUCCUCUGCCAAUCCUGGGAGGGCUGCGGACGUGGAGUCUCUAGCAACUUUUUUUUCACCUGACAGUGAGGAGUUUCGCCAGGGGGACGUAGGGCGUGGGAGGAUCACGCGAUUCCCCCCAGUUCCCCCUCCCGAACAAGCGCCCCGACCGACCGACCGACCAGAGGAGGCGCUAGUGCAGCGACCAGGACACAUACCCACAUCCGGCUUCCCACCCGCAGACACGGCCAAUUGUGUCUGUAGGACGCCCGACCAAGCCGGAGGUAACACGGGGAUUACGAACCGGCGGUCCCCGUGUUGGUAGACAAGGGAAUAGACCGCCACGCCACCCGGACGCCCAAGGUCUUUAUUUCUUUACAAGAGUAUGUUUUUAAAAGUGUUAUAUAAAUAAAAUUUUGCUUGUU